rnacentral:rRNA from 2 species
AUAGAUCCUGAAACCGCAUGCUUACAAAAAGUAGGAGCCUCGAAAGGGGUGACUGCGUACCUUUUGUAUAAUGGGUCAGCGACUUACAUUCAGUGGCAAGGUUAACCGAAUAGGGAAGCCGUAGAGAAAUCGAGUCCGAAUAGGGCGAUCAGUCGCUGGGUGUAGACCCGAAACCAAGUGAUCUAUCCAUGGGCAGGAUGAAGGUGCCGUAACAGGUACUGGAGGUCCGAACCGACUAAUGUUGCAAAAUUAGCGGAUGACCUGUGGAUAGGGGUGAAAGGCUAAACAAACUUGGAAAUAGCUGGUUCUCUCCGAAAACUAUUUAGGUAGUGCCUCAAGUAUUACCAUCGGGGGUAGAGCACUGUUUUGGCUAGGGGGUCAUGGCGACUUACCAAACCAAGGCAAACUCCGAAUACCGAUGAGUACAGCUUGGGAGACAGAGCACCGGGUGCUAACGUCCGGACUCAAGAGGGAAACAACCCAGACCGCCAGCUAAGGUCCCUAAAAUUGGCUAAGUGGGAAACGAAGUGGGAAGGCUAAAACAGUCAGGAUGUUGGCUUAGAAGCAGCCAUCAUUUAAAGAAAGCGUAAUAGCUCACUGAUCGAGUCGUCCUGCGCGGAAGAUGUAACGGGGCUAAGCCAGUUACCGAAGCUGCGGAUUUGCAAUUUAUUGCAAGUGGUAGGAGAGCGUUCUGUAGGCCUGUGAAGGUGGUGGUGUAAACCCUGCUGGAGGUAUCAGAAGUGCGAAUGCUGACAUGAGUAGCGUUAAAGGGGGUGAAAAGCCCCCUCGCCGUAAGCGCAAGGUUUUCUACGCAACGUUCAUCGGCGUAGAGUGAGUCGGCCCCUAAGGCGAGGCAGAGAUGCGUAGCUGAUGGGAAACAGGUCAAUAUUCCUGUACCGAUUACAAGUGCGAUGUGGGGACGGAGAAGGUUAGCUCAGCCAACUGUUGGAUAUGUUGGUUCAAGCCUGUAGUCAUGCCUGGUAGGCAAAUCCGCCGGGCUAAGAUGAGGGGUGAUAAGGAGUCUGCUUGCAGACGAACUGAGUGAUACCCUGCUUCCAGGAAAAGCCACUAAGCUUCAGCUUGUAAUUGACCGUACCGCAAACCGACACUGGUGCGCGAGAUGAGUAUUCUAAGGCGCUUGAGAGAACUCAGGAGAAGGAACUCGGCAAAUUGAUACCGUAACUUCGGGAGAAGGUAUGCCCCUAUUAGGUGAACUUGAACAAAGGGAGCCGAACGGGGUUGCAAAAAAUCGGUGGCUGCGACUGUUUAAUAAAAACACAGCACUCUGCAAACACGAAAGUGGACGUAUAGGGUGUGACGCCUGCCCGGUGCUGGAAGAUUAAAUGAUGGGGUGCAAGCUCUUGAUUGAAGUCCCAGUAAACGGCGGCCGUAACUAUAACGGUCCUAAGGUAGCGAAAUUCCUUGUCGGGUAAGUUCCGACCUGCACGAAUGGCGUAACGAUGGCCACACUGUCUCCUCCUGAGACUCAGCGAAGUUGAAAUGUUUGUGAUGAUGCAAUCUCCCCGCGGAAAGACGGAAAGACCCCAUGAACCUUUACUGUAGCUUUGUAUUGGACUUUGAACAGAUCUGUGUAGGAUAGGUGGGAGGCUUUGAAGUGCGGUCGCUAGAUCGCAUGGAGCCAACGUUGAAAUACCACCCUGGUGUGUUUGAGGUUCUAACCUAGGUCCAUUAUCUGGAUCGGGGACAGUGCAUGGUAGGCAGUUUGACUGGGGCGGUCUCCUCCCAAAGCGUAACGGAGGAGUUCGAAGGUACGCUAGUUACGGUCGGACAUCGUGAUAAUAGUGCAAUGGCAUAAGCGUGCUUAACUGCGAGACUGACAAGUCGAGCAGAUACGAAAGUAGGACAUAGUGAUCCGGUGGUUCUGUAUGGAAGGGCCAUCGCUCAACGGAUAAAAGGUACUCUGGGGAUAACAGGCUGAUACCGCCCAAGAGUUCAUAUCGACGGCGGUGUUUGGCACCUCGAUGUCGGCUCAUCUCAUCCUGGGGCUGUAGCCGGUCCCAAGGGUAUGGCUGUUCGCCAUUUAAAGAGGUACGUGAGCUGGGUUUAAAACGUCGUGAGACAGUUUGGUCCCUAUCUUCCGUGGGCGCUG